UUCGAGCUGGCGGUUCUCUGGAGUCCCCGUGACAUAUUCACUGCAAGCCAGUUCCGCGCCAAUAAAUGCGUUUGCUUGUGUGGCACGGCUACCUUGCUACUGAUUAGCCAGUGUAGAGGGAUCGCAGAUACGGUAAUGACAACUACCAGCAGAUUAUCAGCGGUGCAUAACUCAUCUUCACACAAAAAUCGCUGUACCACAUUGCGUAAAGUGCAGCCAUUAUUACUGAAGAUCAUUGUCAUCGUUAUCCUGGCAACAUCAAAAGGGAGUCGUGCUGGAAGAAUUGUAUACCCGCGCGUAAUUGAGGAGCGGAGCACCCUUGGGAAAGUUGUCGUUCAGGUUACUAAGGAAAUAGUGCUGCAGCUUUUGCAGUAUGAGGCAUUUCUCUCUAGGCUUCGUGUUGACGUCGAAAGAAAUGGUACAAUCCUGCAC
rnacentral:lncRNA from 1 species